GGAGGGGUUGGCUCAGUUGGUAGCGUGCGUGCCUAGCAUACACAAGGUCCUGGGUUCAACCCCCAGCACCUCCA
rnacentral:tRNA from 1 species